rnacentral:rRNA from 1 species
UACGGAGGGUGCAAGCGUUAUCCGGAUUCACUGGGUUUAAAGGGUGCGUAGGAGGGCAGGUAAGUCAGUGGUGAAAUCUCCAAGCUUAACUUGGAAACUGCCGUUGAUACUAUUUGUCUUGAAUGUUGUGGAGGUAAGCGGAAUAUGUCAUGUAGCGGUGAAAUGCUUAGAUAUGACAUAGAACACCAAUUGCGAAGGCAGCUUACUACACAAAUAUUGACGCUGAGGCACGAAAGCGUGGGGAUCAAACAGG